GGGGCAGGAGGGGUCCGCGCAAAGCGUAACGGGUAAUUAGGCCAAGCGGGUUCAUUCGAACUGUGACCACUGCAGAGGACGGACGUCCCCGGAGCUUCGUAAACAAGCCAAAAAUGGCUGCCUCCGGAGGAUAUCGUGUUCUUCUAGUGCUGUUUCAGGCCACCAACAGCCAUUUUCCGGUCAUCUUCGUGUCCCCACAAAACACAAGAAUGUACAUUACUUCUACCAGUCCUUGCUUCAUCUACAGAGUUAUCAGUAUCACCAAACAAAGAUGCUGUUGAAGUCUCAUGUUUGCUACACAAGGGUAAAUGGCAUGCAUUGUAUUUGUCAAAGAAUUAUUUUUUUUAAGCAACCAACAUAGAGGUGAACAUCAAGAGUUUAUUUCAUCACAUACAUUCACUGAAUAAAUCUUUCUGAAAUGACUGAUAAAGCAGCUACAUGUAUGUUACUUGCCAGCCCUGCUGGGCAUGAGCAAACCUGUCUAAGCAUGUGCUUACUUUAUACUUGGUGGUACAUGUAUAUCCUUUAUUACAUUGUACUUUUUGUAGACAAACAUGUUGUGUGCAUGUUACCAAAAACUGCUGAAACAAUUUAGGAUUUUUCGGGUUGACUGAAUUGACAGUGAAGGAGGAUUAAUCCACUGUAUUAUGUACCAUUUGAUGUAAUGUUGCACAGCACUCAGUCUCUGCAUUGAAGAUUACCUGUAUUUUGAAUGUUGUUGUCUUGUAUCUAUGCAGAACUGAGUAGAUGGUGUCAUUGCUUGGAAAUGAAUAUGUAUAAUAGUCUUUAAUGUCCACAUGUUGCCCUUAGGUUCUAAUACUCAUUCCAAGCAUAGAUAUUAAAUACACGAAUGAACAAUU